ACUCAUGAGAACAAAACAUGAGCACCUACUCACUCGUUAUCCGUUCUCGCUAUUGUAUGAUUUUUGGUCCCCACUGGCGAAAAAAUAAUUUAUUAUUAAAAAUCUGGUCCGAUGGCUCUUAUCAACCUCUAUCCUGAGAAGUGCUUUAGGUCUAACAGCGGUCUUUCUCGGACAUUAUUUAGGAUCAUCAGGACUCGCUAUGCUCACCGCCAAUCUACUAAUGCUUUUUUUCCUUAUUUCUUUUUUGAUCUUUCUUUAUCGGCUUUAUUCUUUUCGUGUGAAUAGAAAAAAAAGAGUAACGGGACUCUCGAUUUUAAUCAAAAUUGUACUUUUUUUUUUCUAUACAUCUUUUUCUAUUUAGUAAGAAUCAAAUUAUAUUCCUCCCUUUUUUCUUUUUUUGAGCUGGGGGUGGGCAGUGCAGUCAUUUUGAGUGUCUUGGAGGAAGUCAUUCCUAUCUCUUCCGGCACAUCGGGCUCAUCCUCGUGGACGAAAGAUUCCUUUUUGGGGAAUAAGAUGUUACCCGGGGACGCGAGUUCUGGAGCGUCUACCUCAAAUCAGGGGCAGUUCUCGAUGGGGGGAAAAUUCCGGCAUCCACUAGCCAACCUACGGAGGUAGCGCACCGAUCCGACCCGCUACUUACUGCACCGGAUGAGAUCAAGAAGCCGCUUGUGGUGGACGACCUGCGGCAAAAAGAGCUUGAGAAGCGGCUCAAUUUUCACUUCAUUGGGAAAAGUGAAGAAAUCGGGACUCUCCCCUAUAGGGAUUUGAUUGAUACACAACUUCUUAUUGAAAAGAAAAUAGAGAUUUCUUUACGCAACGAUGGGUAUAGUAGAGAGAGCGUUUUGGCUAAUCUAAAUGCGAUCCGGGGCUAUCUGUUUUAUCCUGAAGGGGUGCCCCUCAAAAACAGCACCUUAACUCAUCAUCUGCGAGAAAUGCAAAAAGGGAAUAAUAUACCCUAUGCGCAAAUUCAAAGGGCGAUCGCGGCCUUAGAUCUUUUUUUGGUCAAAGGUGAGUAGGGCUGGUUUAUUUC
rnacentral:lncRNA from 1 species